rnacentral:rRNA from 1 species
ACGCUCGACACCUACGGGACGCAGCAGUGGGGAAUAUUGCACAAUGGGGGAAACCCUGAUGCAGCGACGCCGCGUGAGUGAAGAAGUAUUUCGGUAUGUAAAGCUCUAUCAGCAGGGAAGAAAAUGACGGUACCUGACUAAGAAGCCCCGGCUAACUACGUGACAGCAGCCGCGGUAAUCUGAGCGGGCUGGCAAGGC